rnacentral:rRNA from 1 species
GACGGAGGAUGCAAGCGUUAUCCGGAAUGAUUGGGCGUAAAGCGUCCGCAGGUGGCAGUUCAAGUCUGCUGUCAAAGACCGGGGCUUAACUUCGGAAAGGCAGUGGAAACUGAACAGCUAGAGUAUGGUAGGGGCAGAGGGAAUUCCCAGUGUAGCGGUGAAAUGCGUAGAGAUUGGGAAGAACACCGGUGGCGAAAGCGCUGCUGCGUGGGCCGCAACUGACACUAAUGGACGAAAGCGUGGGGAGCAAACAGG